rnacentral:rRNA from 1 species
UACGAAGGGGGCUAGCGUUGCUCGGAAUCACUGGGCGUAAAGGGUGCGUAGGCGGGGCUUUAAGGCAGGGGGGAAAUCCUGGAGCUCAACUCCAGAACUGCCUUUGAUACUGAAGAUCUUGAGUUCGGGAGAGGUGAGUGGAACUGCGAGUGUAGAGGUGAAAUUCGUAGAUAUUCGCAAGAACACCAGUGGCGAAAGCGACGCCCUGGCAUUAGCCUGACGCUCAUGUGCGAAGGCGUGGGGAGCGAACGGG